CUUGGUUCGUCGAAACGAUUAACGUAAUCAUUCCUUCCCAUCCAAAUCUGCGUCGGUGAUUACCCAUCUUCCAUGGCUCGCAGGAGGCGGAGUGGUAGCAAAGCGCAGUACAGUGCAGUACUAAGAUACUACACAAACCACACAAUAGAAGUACCACUAUUUGAAGCUCGGGCAGUGGGAAAAGUACACCUUUGUACUGCCCCGACACACUCGUUCUCGGGUUUAUAAAAGCAGAGCCGAUAAGAACGCAUCACAGGAGAGGGACAGAAAGAGACUAGAAAGAAAGAAGGGGCGCUGAGGAGGUAGCAGUAGCAGUGGAAGGGGCAUGCAGAGGAGAGGAGAGGAGAGGAGAGGAGGGAAGGCGAAAGAAAUCCUGUCUCCUGUGCCUGCCCCUCCCACCCCUGCUGUUACGACUCGCUUCUGCCGGUCACGGCAAUUCCUCCUCGACAUCUUAUCGACGAACGCUUAUAGCGAACGAAGGUAAGGGGGAAGGGGGGAAAGAGGUCGAUUGCCAUCUUGGAAUCGCUCCUCGCUCCUGGAUCUGAAUCUGGAUUUUGGCCUUACGAACGAACAGGUAGCAAUCUUUUGUACACGGACGGACAUAAAUGAAUUUGGGUUUCAUAGCAGGAAAUUGCGUGUAGGAUUCUUGAAGCGAAGACCUCGAUUGCCAGCGGUAAAUGAUUUGUGGGAGUCAGCUGCACGUUUGCUGUUCCCGGAGAAGCAAGCGUAUUUGGUAAUCUUAAUUUUUCUGUGUGUGUGUGUGUGUUGUGAGCAUUAUUAUGUUGCAACUUCUUGCUUAUUGGUCAGUGUGUGUCUCUCCACCAGACACCAGUUGCUUAUUUUGCUGCAACUUGGUUGAGAAAUAUUACAUUUUAUGGAGAUGUGCAUUGUUUGUCUAUCGCUAAGGUAAGUGUGAGGGAAAUUUGAAACAAAAAUAUGGCAGCAUUUUGUCUUGGUUUGUGCUG